CUUCCUUACUGGCUUCUACCAAGAAGAAGAUCAGAGUGCAACUCUCAAAACUUUAUUUGAGCCCCUUAAUGGCUCUACCUUUGAAGGAAAAAUAGUUCGAUCGCAUCAGAUGCUAGAAAGAAAAUUAAAUAGAUUAGCAAUUAAAAUUUUUAUAAUAUUUUUGAAAUCUCACCUUGAUUCAUAGCGGAAGAUAUAAUCAAGGUUGAUUGAUUCCUGAAUUGAGUUGCUUCACG
rnacentral:lncRNA from 1 species